AGUUGUUAUUUAUUGGGUGCCAAAUUAUGUACCAGGCAGUGUGGUGGGAUACCAGGGAUACAGACAUGCGCCUGCCUGUAUAUGUUUACAAAUCUAGGUGGAAAAAAUAGGUAAAUAAAUAGACUGCUACAGUGCGUUGUGAAAUACAAUGGUAAUUAAAGGGGGCGUAGGGCAUCAGGGAUGGCUUCCCCAAGGAAGUGCUGCUCAAACUGAGA
rnacentral:lncRNA from 1 species